rnacentral:rRNA from 1 species
UAGCAUAUCAAUAAGCGGAGGAAAAGAAACCAACAGGGAUUGCCCUAGUAACGGCGAGUGAAGCGGCAAUAGCUCAAAUUUGAAAUCUGGCGUCUUUGGCGUCCGAGUUGUAAUUUGUAGAGGAUGCUUCUGGGUAGCCACCGGUCUAAGUUCCUUGGAACAGGACGUCAUAGAGGGUGAGAAUCCCGUAUGCGACCGGACAGGCACCCUCCACGUAGCUCCUUCGACGAGUCGAGUUGUUUGGGAAUGCAGCUCUAAAUGGGAGGUAAAUUUCUUCUAAAGCUAAAUACUGGCCAGAGACCGAUAGCGCACAAGUAGAGUGAUCGAAAGAUGAAAAGCACUUUGGAAAGAGAGUUAAAAAGCACGUGAAAUUGUUGAAAGGGAAGCGUUUGCAACCAGACUUGCUCGCGGUGUUCCGCCGGUCUUCUGACCGGUUCACUCGCCGCGUUGCAGGCCAGCAUCGUCUGGGGCCGCCGGAUAAGACUUUGGGAAUGUAGCUCCUCUCGGGGAGUGUUAUAGCUCAUUGUGAUGCGGCGCGUCCCGGGCGAGGUCCGCGCUUCGGCUAGGAUGCUGGCGUAAUGGUUGUAAACGGCCCGUCUUGAAACACGGACCAAGGAGUCUAACAUCUAUGCGAGUGUUCGGGUGUCAAACCCCUACGCGUAAUGAAAGUGAACGGAGGUGGGAACUUUAUUGUGCACCAUCGACCGAUCCUGAUGUCUUCGGAUGGAUUUGAGUAAGAGCAUAGCUGUUGGGACCCGAAAGAUGGUGAACUAUGCCUGAAUAGGGUGAAGCCAGAGGAAACUCUGGUGGAGGCUCGCAGCGGUUCUGACGUGCAAAUCGAUCGUCAAAUUUGGGUAUAGGGGCGAAAGACUAAUCGA